rnacentral:tRNA from 1 species
GGGGAUACAGCUCAGUGAUAGAGUGCUUGCCUAGCAUGUAUGAGGUCUUGGGUUCAAUCCCUAGUACUGCCA